AUACGGAGGAUCCGAGCGUUAUCCGGAUUUAUUGGGUUUAAAGGGAGCGUAGGUGGCCUGUUAAGUCAGUUGUGAAAGUUUGCGGCUCAACCGUAAAAUUGCAGUUGAUAAUGGUUUCCUUGAGUACGGUACAGGGGGGCGGAAUUCGUGGGGUAGGGGUGAAAUGCUUAGAUAUCACGAAGAACUCCGAACGCGAAGGCAGCUGACCGGGCCGGAACUGACACUGAUGCUCGAAGGUGCGGGUAUCAAACAGGAUUAGAUACCCUGGUAGUCCGCACAGUAAACGAUGAAUACUCGCUGUUUGCGAUACACUGUAAGCGGCCAAGCGAAAGCGUUAAGUAUUCCACCUGGGGAGUACGCCGGCAACGGUGAAACUCAAAGGAAUUGACGGGG
rnacentral:rRNA from 1 species